rnacentral:rRNA from 1 species
UACAGGUGCUGCAUGGCUGUCGUCAGCUCGUGCUGUGAAGUGUUGGGUUAAGUCCCGCAACGAGCGCAACCCCUGCUAUCUGUUGCCAGCAAGUAAUGUUGGGGACUCAGAUGGAACUGCCGGUGACAAACCGGAGGAAGGUGGGGGACGACGGUCAAGUCAUCAUGGCCCUUAUGUCCUGGGCUACACACGUGCUACAAUGGCCGGUACAGAGCGCAGCGAAGCCGCGAGGCAAAGCGAAUCGCAAAAAGCCGGUCUCAGUACGGAUUGGAGUCUGAAACCCGACUCCAUGAAGUUGGAAUCGCUAGUAAUCGCGCAUCAGCAUGGCGCGGUGAAUACGUUCCCGGGCCUU